UCUACACCCAUUAUAACUUUCAAACACACCAACAAAACUAUGUUAAUUAAUAAAUAGAUCCUGGGCUAAACCAGGCAUAUUUUCUCUCUCAGAAGAAUCUCAACACAGCAAGCUAUUGCAGGCAUCUGAACUCCACCUACCUGCUGGCACACAAAAAGGACAGGAAUUUUCCACUUGAGUGAGAAGCUGCAGCACUCACAGAGACUCCCCUGAGGAAGAUCUGUGUGUGGUCGAGAACACCAGCAAAGAGCCCUCUGUCAGGUGUGUAGACACCAUCCCCGACACCAGGAGUUUGUCAACUGUGGGUUGGCAUAGCAACGACCUCAUGUUUUCUACACCAGUUAAAAGAAAAACAAGAGGAGGAGAAGGAAUUUUCAACCCCAACUCCAAGCGGGCAUCGGAAAACUGAACUUUCACACCAGUAAAACUGAAAGCCACAGGAGAAAAGUUAAAGGCAUUUUAAAAAGAAUUUCACUACUGGCUAACUGUUCUUGUUAGCUGAAGUAUGUCAUCCCAGGACAUGGUUUUUGUGCUUAAAAGCUCACCCUGAGAAAGCCUUUGUGCUACCCUGGGAUCCUGAACACCCAGUGUA